GCGUUUCCAGGCGGACCCCGGGCCCCCUUUUCCGGGGCGAAGUGACCCGCACAGGCGGAGCAGAUACGUUACCGUUUCUGCAGGGGCCUCCUCCGCUUGCGGCCGGCGUACGUGCACUCCCCCGGCGGGAUCAUCGUCCUCGGCCUGGAAGACAGGGGCACCCGGGUCACCGGAACGCGCCACAUGCGCCCCGUUCCCGCCGCGACGCCCCGGCCUCAGCGCGGUCCUGGCACCCCCACAGCCGCGCCUCCUCCUCCUCGUGGGACCCCCUGGCCCGGGACCCUUGCUCUCCAGCCCCCUGGCGGAGAACCCACCGUGGCCGGGUCACCCCUGGGCCUCCCCUCGGUGGCAGGCGGGUCCCAGCCUCCCCCAGAGAAGCGCCAUGACGGGAGGCCGAGGUCCUCACCAGAUGCCAUCCAGGAAGCCACACACGGGCGAGGCGCGACCAAGGCCUGGGCAGCCUGCGGGUCAUCACCCCGGGUCCCGUGUUCCCGUCACCCCAAGAAGGCAUGUGGGGUCCCACGUUCCCGUCAUCCCCGAGAAGGCAUGUGGGGUCCCACGUUCCCGUCACUCCGAGAAGGCAUGUGGGGUCCCGUGUUCCCAUCAUCCCCGAGAAGGUAUGUGGGGUCCCGUGUUCCCGUCACCCCGAGAAGGUAUGUGGGGUCCCGUGUUCCCGUCACUCCGAGAAGGCAUGUGGGGUCCCACGUUCCCGUCACUCCGAGAAGGCAUGUGGGGUCCCGUGUUCCCGUCACUCCGAGAAGGCAUGUGGGGUCCCGCGUUCCCGUCAUCUCCGAGAAGGCAUGUGGGGUCCCGUGUUCCCGUCAUCCCCGAGAAGGUAUGUGGGGUCCCGUGUUCCCGUCAUCCCCGAGAAGGCAUGUGGGGUCCCACGUUCCCGUCACUCCGAGAAGGCAUGUGGGGUCCCGUGUUCCUGUCAUCCCUGAAAAGGCAUGUGGGGUCCCGUGUUUCCGUCAUCCCUGAAAAGGCAUGUGGGGUCCCGCGUUCCUGUCAUCCCUGAGAAGGUAUGUGGGGUCCCGUGUUCCCAUCACUCUGAGAAGGCAUGUGGGGUCCCGUGUUCCUGUCAUCCCUGAGAAGGCAUGUGGGGUCCCGUGUUCCUGUCACCCUGAGAAGGUAUGUGAGGUCCCAUGUUCCUGCCAUCCCCAAGAGGGUACAUGAGGUCCUGUGUUCCUGUCACCCCUCAGAGGGUAUGUGGGGUUCCGUGUUCCCUCCAUCCUUGAGAAGGUAGGCUGGGUCCCAUGUUCCUGUAACCCCCAGGAGAGUACGUGAGGUCCCGUAUUCACAUCACCCCCUAGAGGGUACGUGAGAUCCCAUGUUCCCACUAUCCCUCAGAGUGUAUGUGGGGUCCCGUGUUCUCAUCACCCCUAGAUGGUACUCAGGGUCACCCCGAGGGGGUACACAAGAGGGUAUGCGGGGUCCCAUGUUCCCGUCACCCUCAAGACAGUACGUGAGGUCCAUGUUCCCAACACUGCCAAGAGGGUAUGCAAGGUCCCCUGUUCCUGUCACCCCCAGAGGGUACGUGAGGUCCUGUGUUCCCAUCACUCCCAAGAGGGUACGCAGGGUCCUGUGUUCUCAUCACCCCCAAUAGGGUACAUGCGGUCCCGUGUUUCCGUCACCCCUGAGAGGAUAUGUGAAGUUGCAUGUUCCUAUCACCCACAAGAGGGUAUGUGAAGUCCUGUGCUCUGGUCACCCCUGAGACGGUACACAGGGUACUGUGUUCCUGUCACCCCCAAGAGGGUAUGAGGUCCCAUGUUCCCAUAAUCCCCGAGAGGGUAUAUGGGGUCCUGUGUACCUGUCACCUUGGGAAGGUAUGCAGGGUCCCGCGUUCCCAGCACCCCCGAGAGGGUACAUGAGGUCUCAUGUUCCUUACACCCCAAUGAGGGUAUCCAGGGUCCCAUGUUCCUGUCACCCCAAGAGGACACACGGGACACGGGACCCUGUCACCCCUGAGAGUGCAUGGCAGCAGCAUAAUCUCCCCUCUGGUGUGAUCUCCCUGUGGCGUUUGUGACAGGUCUUCUUCUCAUCCCUGCCCUUGAUGGCCUUGAGCUUUGGCCAACAGGCUUUCUCUUUGCUUAUAAAAUUCUGCUCGUCUCUACAAUCCUGGGAUUCCACUUAAGUCACUAGCUCACAGCACCCUGAGUCCAGCUGACUACACCCACCAGCUGCCAGCAACAGUGCUGGAUGCAGGCAUGCACCUCCCAGCAGGGCCCUGGGGAGCAGUCCAGUAUCUAUGCCCAGGCUGGUCAGCUCACCUGUCAUUCACCUCAGAGAGGGCAUCACCCUUCUUGUCACAGAAUCUUGAUUUUUCCAUGCAAUAGGGCAGCUGAGCACUCACAAACAUCCUGCAGACCUGUGUGCAGUAACCAUCCCAUGCCAGGCUCUGGGCCAAAAGCCUUGGGGAGGAAGUUAGGGAGCCCUCAGCUGUGUGAGGCUGUGUGAGGCUGUGUGCAGCCUGGAAGAGGAGGCAAACACACAAUAACCACCUUGUGUGGAAAGUGCCAUAAAAAUGUCAGAAAUGUGUCAUGGAUCCACUUUGAAUAUAAAGUAAAUUGAUAGAAGAUACACCGUGCAAACAUUAAUCAAAGGAAGCAACUGUGAGUCCCAGACAAAGGAGACUUCAGAACCAGGAAUAUCACCAGAGGCAGAAAAGUACAUUCUGUAAUAAUAAAACGGUCAGUUUUCCAAAAAGCUCUGACA
rnacentral:lncRNA from 13 species